rnacentral:rRNA from 1 species
AGCGAACGUUAGCGGCGGGCCUAACACAUGCAAGUCGCACGAGAAAGUCCCUUCGGGGACGAGUACAGUGGCGCACGGGUGAGUAACACGUAGGUAAUCUACCCUCCGGCGGGGGACAACGUUCCGAAAGGAGCGCUAAUACCGCAUAAGACCACGACCUCCACGGGGGUUGCGGGAAAAGGUGGCCUCUCCAUGGAAGCUACCACCGAAGGAUGAGCCUGCGUCCCAUCAGCUAGUUGGUAGGGUAAUGGCCUACCAAGGCGAAGACGGGUAGCUGGUAUGAGAGGAUGAUCAGCCACACUGGUACUGGAACACGGACCAGACUCCUGCGGGAGGCAGCAGUGAGGAAUAUUGGGCAAUGGGCGAAAGCCUGACCCAGCCACGCCGCGUGAGUGAUGAAGGCCUUCGGGUUGUAAAGCUCUGUGGGGAGGGACGAAAAACCGUGGUUCGAAUAGGGCCAUGGCUUGACGGUACCUCCUUAGCAAGCACCGGCUAACUCUGUGCCAGCCGCCGCGGUAAAAC